UUAUGUUUCCUGCCCCUUUGCAGAUGAGAGCUCUCAGGCCACGUUCUCAUUCUAGUCUCUCUCCAUCUGGUCACAAGAGCAAGCACCUCCAUCCAACUGUGACUGACUCAUUGGGUAGACUGAGACUCUCAACCAACUGUGGAGGUCUCCACGAUGAAAGUAUCAUGAAACUGAAUGAGCACCAAGUCGCCCACAGGGGACCCAGUCCUGCAAGGUGCUGAACUACCCCACACUCCACUUAAUAGGAUUUGGAAGUGCUUGGAGCCUAUUCUGAUCAAACAACAGUUGGUGUCCGAGUGAGCAAAUCCCCGGAGAAGGGUCUGGAGACGGAGAGCAAAUCAGAACAAUUGAAAGUGCCACAAGCUUCUGCAGCAGCGGAUACUAUUGUCAAGGCACCUUUUGUGCUACAGGCUCUCGACGUUUAAAUGAGGAAGCGAGAAAAGAGGGAAUUUCAAAACAAAGGUUUCUUCGCGGAUUGCUGGAUUCUCAUUGCCUUAUUUGCUCCUUGCACAUGUCAGAUAAGUGGACAUGCAAAUAACCUUAAUUAGUAAUGCAGAUUACACUUAUCCAGAGUACACUGGACACUUUCUCCCCAGCAAUACUGCUGGGAAUGCACAUGGCCAAUUCGUUAAGGAACAAACCAAUUUUAAAGUUAGCUUCAUUUUUAGGCUCUACAGUGUGUGCACUUGCUCUGCCCAGUUCAUAAAUCCAGCAGCUGUGGAAAAUUCCUCAUUCUUGAAGAAUUUAAUGGAAGAAAAGAGCUAUUGCAUUUGCAGCAGAAAGGCCCACUAAGAGAGAUACGCAACUUCUGACACUGAUCUUACCUCAGAAGCGCUCCGUCAAAUGAGUUGCACCUUUGCAGCUUCUGCUGGGAUUUGAUGUUACCUUCUCAUGUGCAACGUGGCAGAGUUACAAGGUUAGACCACAACACAGCGGAGAAUCCCAGCUUAAUCUGAAGACUGAAUCUGGGCAAACAGCCCAAACAAAGAAGCUGUAGAAAAGGCAUAUCUAAAAGUAAAAGUCUGGAAUGACUGGCUGCAGAUGCUGGGUUUUGGGAUAUUUUAUUUCUGUUAUGUGUUUAUUCAUGGUUGUGACUUUGUUCUGUUCACUGAAGGAAAGUGGACAUUUCUUUAUAGGCAAAGAUAAACAAAUAAAGAUAAAUAAACAUU